rnacentral:rRNA from 1 species
GACGAACGCUGGCGGCGUGCUUAACACAUGCAAGUCGAACGGAAAGACCCUGCUUUUGUGGGGUGCUCGAGUGGCGAACGGGUGAGUAACACGUGAGUAACCUGCCCUUGACUUUGGGAUAACUUCAGGAAACUGGGGCUAAUACCGGAUAGGAGCUCCUGCUGCAUGGUGGGGGUUGGAAAGUUACGGCGGUUGGGGAUGGACUCGCGGCUUAUCAGCUUGUUGGUGGGGUAGUGGCUUACCAAGGCUUUGACGGGUAGCCGGCCUGAGAGGGUGACCGGCCACAUUGGGACUGAGAUACGGCCCAGACUCCUACGGGAGGCAGCAGUGGGGAAUAUUGCACAAUGGGCGGAAGCCUGAUGCAGCAACGCCGCGUGCGGGAUGACGGCCUUCGGGUUGUAAACCGCUUUCGCCUGUGACGAAGCGUGAGUGACGGUAAUGGGUAAAGAAGCACCGGCUAACUACGUG